rnacentral:rRNA from 1 species
UACGAAGGGGGCUAGCGUGUUCGGUAAUCACUGGGCGUAAAGCGCACGUAGGCGGAUUUUUAAGUCAGGGGUGAAAUCCCGGGGCUCAACCUCGGAACUGCCUUUGAUACUGGAGAUCUUGAGUCCGGAAGAGGUAAGUGGAACUGCGAGUGUAGAGGUGAAAUUCGUAGAUAUUCGCAAGAACACCAGUGGCGAAGGCGGCUUACUGGUCCGGAACUGACGCUGAGGUGCGAAAGCGUGGGGAGCAAACAGG